rnacentral:rRNA from 1 species
AUACGUAGGGGGCGAGCGUUGUCCGGAAUGACUGGGCGUAAAGGGCGUGUAGGCGGCGGUGUAAGUCUGGAGUGAAAGUCCCGCAUUCAAUGUGGGAAUUGCUUUGGAUACUGCAGUGCUAGAGUGCGGAAGAGGUAAGUGGAAUUCCCAGUGUAGCGGUGAAAUGCGUAGAGAUUGGGAGGAACACCAGUGGCGAAGGCGACUUACUGGGCCGUAACUGACGCUGAGGCGCGAAAACGUGGGGAGCGAACAGGAUUAGAUACCCUGGUAGUCCACGCGGUAAACGAUGAAUGCUAGGUGUUGCGGGUAUCGACCCCUGCAGUGCCGGAGUAAACACAAUAAGCAUUCCGCCUGGGGAGUACGGCCGCAAGGUUGAAACUCAAAUGAAUGGGCGGGG